rnacentral:rRNA from 1 species
AGAGUUUGAUCCUGGCUCAGAAUCAACGCUGGCGGCGUGCCUCAGACAUGCAAGUCGAACGAGAACCUCCCUUCGGGGAGGGGAAAGUGGCGCACGGGUGAGUAACACGUGGGUAAUUUACCUUUGGGUGGGGAACAACAGCCGGAAACGGCUGCUAAUACCGCAUAAUGCAGCGGCAUCGCAAGAUGACAGUUGUUAAAGCGGGGGAUCGCAAGACCUCGCGCCUAAAGAGAAGCCCGCGGCAGAUUAGCUAGUUGGUAGGGUAAUGGCCUACCAAGGCAACGAUCUGUAACCGGCCUGAGAGGGCGGUCGGUCACACUGACACUGACAUACGGGUCAGACUCCUACGGGAGGCAGCAGUCGGGAAUUUUGGGCAAUGGGCGAAAGCCUGACCCAGCAACGCCGCGUGAAGGAUGAAGCUUUUCGGAGUGUAAACUUCACAAGAAUGGGAAGAAUAAGUUUAGGAUAAUACCCUGAACGAUGACGGUACCAUUUGUAAGCUCCGGCUAACUCCGUGCCAGCAGCCGCGGUAAUACGGGGGGAGCAAGCGUUGUUCGGAUUUACUGGGCGUAAAGGGCGCGUAGGCGGCGCGACAAGUCACUUGUGAAAUCUCUGAGCUCAACUCAGAACGGUCAAGUGAUACUGUCGUGCUAGAGUGCGGAAGGGGCAACUGGAAUUCUUGGUGUAGCGGUGAAAUGCGUAGAUAUCAAGAGGAACACCUGCGGCGAAGGCGGGUUGCUGGGCCGACACUGACGCUGAGGCGCGAAAGCUAGGGGAGCGAACGGGAUUAGAUACCCCCGUAGUCC